CAGUGGAGAAAAGCUCAGAUCCAGUGGAGAGAAGCUCAGAUCCAGUGGACAGAAGCUCAGUUCCAGUGGUGAGAAGCUGAGAUCCAGUGAAGA